rnacentral:rRNA from 1 species
GUCUACGGCCAUACCACCCUGAACGCGCCCGAUCUCGUCUGAUCUCGGAAGCUAAGCAGGGACGGGCCUGGUUAGUACUUGGAUGGGAGAUUUGCAAUGUUCCUUCUGCC